UCAUCCCUGGGCUGUGAUUGGCCAGUUGCCGCGCCAGUCACAACAAGGUUAGUCAUCACCUGUAGCACGUAAACAAAGAUGGACGAAGAACUGCUUGUGUACGAGCAGGACGAGGUCUAUACUCUGCCCACAUCACAAGAAGAGCUAUCAGUUAGUGGAAAACUGCGCAUCAUAGAAAGACGGCAUGGAGUUGUUGUUGAGUGGCGGUGUUCCGAUGAUGAGGCCACAACAGAUAGUGAAUGGGCAGUUAUCAACUCUGCUGCUGUUACAUUUACACACCACAAUGUCUCAGGUU